UUGUUGUUUUUUAUCUUUGUCCUCCCCUGUAUAUUUUCUUUUUCUUUUAUUUUAUUUUAUUUAUUUCGUUUCAUUUGUCACAGUGGGGGUGGUGGGAACACACAGACACACACACACAACAACGGUGUCGACUUCACAAUCCUACGACGGACCAAAACAAGUUCGAUUUGAUCGAGUUUAUGAAGAAAAUGUACUUCGGACGUGCAUAAGGAAGGAGAUGCACGUGACGUACCAACUUAGUCAGACUUCGAGGUGACAAACGUGAAGUUAAGGAAGGAAGGAAGGAAGGAAAGAGGAAAAAGAAAAGAAAAGGAAAAAAAAAGGACAGAAAGACAGAAGAUGCCGGUCGGUGGACGUGUUGCUGGCAAAGUUGGGAUUUAUAGUUCCCAUUACAAUGGUAAUGGUGUGGAUAUCAAGGCAUUAGGUAAAGGUUACAGUGGAAUUAACGAAGAGAUCAUAUGGAUCAGUAUCGGUAUGGGAAUAGCGAUAGCAGUAUUGAUAACGAUAGCACUUUGCUAUAUAGCACGUGAAAAGUGUCGUAAACGUCACGAAGGUUACUAUUCCUCCUGACAUACGUUACCCCCGCCCGCUUGGGCGAAUUGUUCAACCUUCACACCAACAACCCCUAGGGUUUACUUUAGCCCCACAAUCUCAAAGGACAAGCCACGAGCUUAUUACAUCACCGUCUAAGUGGAAUGUCACAUCGAUCGAUGAUCCUUUCGAACAAGAUAGAAGAUAAAUCCGAAUUUUACGUUUCUCAAGUAAGACAAAAUUGUACGACGUAUACCAUUGGCUGCUGCAGCUGCUGUUGGGUGGUAGUGUUACCCACAAGUUUCUAAAACGUAGUAACAAUCGUUUCGAUUGAACUUACUUUUAUUUUUAGAAAAAUAUAAACGAGUUUUCUUUAUUUUCUUCUUUUUUUUUUCUUUCUUUCUUUUCCUCCCCAUCGUAAUAGGCACAAAACCCACUUUUCAACCACCCAUCCUCGUAUUUUAAGGACACGAUCGUUUUAAUCUAAAUUUAAACUAUGUUUAUAAUAAAAAAAAAAAUAAUAAAAAAAUAAAAAAUAAUACGCACGCGAAGAAUAAAAAGAAAUAAAAAGUAUGACGAUUAAAUCGUCAUAGAAAAAUUCUUCCAAACGAUUAUCCACGUACCUUCCGAUAAGAAAAAAAAAAAACAGAAAAAAAGAAAAGAUAUUUAAUGAAAGUCUUUGAUCAAAGUGUUCUCAAUGUAGAAAAAUCAUAAAUUUAAAAAAAUAAAAAACAAGAACGAAGAAAAUGAAAAUAAAAAAUAUACAGAUACAUAAACA
rnacentral:misc_RNA from 1 species